UUAUCGCCUCACUUCCUGUAAAGGAGCUGGGUUUGAGGUGGGCUUCCUCUUUAGCAGGGACCCAAGAUGGCUGCCGCAGAAGACACACCCAAAUGACAUGGCUCCCGGCCAGCCAGCUGUACAACCAAGCCCUCCAGUUCCACCAUUGACAGAUGCUACUCCUGGCCUUACUUGUUGGAGAGACGGAGAACAAAUGGCAGGAAGUGGAUGCCAGGAUGCGCCGAGGGGCUCCUUACACCUGCUUUUAAGCUGACGUGCUUCAACAUGUCGCCUCCGUCCGCCCUUCUCUCUCCUCCUCCCCCCGGAGACCUCGUCAUCACCGACUGUGGAAACUUCACACCGGACCUCAUGCAACUUCAAAUGGAGUGUAAACUUUACUCCCAUCUGAAACAUUUCACGCCAUCUCCACACCGGCGAUGACAGGAUGUCGGAUGCAAUUACCGACGUGGCAACACUUUAACGAAUAGCCAGAUAAAACGCCUUCCUCUGCAAACCGAUUCCUAUUUUUAGCGCAGAUAUAGUACGUUGCAAAAAGGAUUUAUUGUCUUGAAACUUGCCUAAAUCAUCUUUUGGAAAGAAAGAAGGGGUGAUAUAUACUGUAUAUAUACAGUAUAUAUUUUUCUUCCCAAAAUCACUUUCGUUAUUUGAAAUGCUGGGAAUUAAUUUCAACAAGCAUUUAAAAAAAAAGAAACUGAUUUA